rnacentral:rRNA from 1 species
UACGAGAGGCCCAACCGUUAUUCGGAUUUACUGGGCUUAAAGAGUUCGUAGGCGGCGCAGAAAGUGGGGUGUGAAAGCCCUCGGCUCAACCGAGGAAUUGCGCUCCAAACUACUGUGCUAGAGGAAGCUAGAGGUGAGCAGAACAGAUGGUGGAGCGGUGAAAUGCGUUGAUAUCAUCUGGAAUACUGGAGGCGAAGGCGGCUCACUGGGGCUUUUCUGACGCUGAGGAACGAAAGCCAGGGUAGCGAACGGG